rnacentral:lncRNA from 1 species
GGUCCGGGUAAUUCGGGUACGGGUAAUGGGUAUCGGGUAAUUUGCCCAGUCUUACGCAUGAUACCAUUUUUGGAUGGAUCUAGAGACACACGACUCCCAGACUCCUUUCGGGCGGACGUUGCAUGCACUUUUUUUUCUUUUUGUAUGCGCACGAGCGACGGUAGUUUCACUUUCGUAUUUUUUUAAAACCACACACAUAACUUAGAAAAUUGAGUUACUUUUAAGAUUAACUUAGUAGUUCUAAGUUAUACAACAUUACUUUUUUCUUUUUGCGCAAAAUUUCUAUUAUUAAAACACUUGUGAG